rnacentral:rRNA from 1 species
ACCGGGAUAACCCUGGGAAACUGGGGAUAAUACUGGAUAGGCAAUUUUUCCUGUAAUGGUUUUUUGUUUAAAUGUUUUUUUCGCCUAAGGAUGGGUCUGCGGCCGAUUAGGUAGUUGGUUAGGUAAUGGCUUACCAAGCCGUUGAUCGGUACGGGUUGUGAGAGCAAGAGCCCGGAGAUGGAACCUGAGACAAGGUUCCAGGCCCUACGGGGUGCAGCAGGCGCGAAACCUCCGCAAUGUGAGAAAUCGCGACGGGGGGAUCCCAAGUGCCAUUCUUAACGGGAUGGCUUUUCAUUAGUGUAAAGAGCUUUUGGAAUAAGAGCUGGGCAAGACCGGUGCCAGCCGCCGCGGUAACACCGGCAGCUCUAGUGGUAGCAAUUUUUAUUGGGCCUAAAGCGUCCGUAGCCGGUUUAAUAAGUCUCUGGUGAAAUCCUGCAGCUUAACUGUGGGAAUUGCUGGAGAUACUAUUAGACUUGAGACCGGGAGAGGUUAGAGGUACUCCCAGGGUAGAGGUGAAAUUCUGUAAUCCUGGGAGGACCGCCUGUUGCGAAGGCGUCUAACUGGAACGGUUCUGACGGUGAGGGACGAAAGUUAGGGGCGCGAACCGGAUUAGAUACCCGGGUAGUCCUAACUGUAAACGAUGCGGACUUGGUGUUGGGGUGGCUUUGAGCUGCUUCAGUGCCGAAGGGAAGCUGUUAAGUCCGCCGCCUGGGAAGUACGGUCGCAAGACUGAAACUUAA